ACCUUCUUCCCCUAACCCUCUCAGCUCUCUCCCUCUCAUCUCUCAUCUCUCUCUCCCUUGGUGAAUCACCACCGAGACACCACCACCACACAAACCUUUCGCCAUACCGACGAACUCUAGACCAUCACACCACCGGACUAUUAUUAGCUCAUCCUUACGAACUUAACCCCAAGUUUGGGUUACUGGAAUCGAGCCUUCGAGCUCAAAUGGAGCUCUGUUUUGGAUAUGGAUUCCCGACGAGAUUCCAUGAAUCCUGACCAAGGUUUCAGUAGCUGAGCUUUCGUAUUGACGAGGAUUCGUGGAAAAUCUUGAUAUUGGAGAUUACCUUCAAUGGCUAAACGCAUCGCAAGGACUCUCGAUGCUACAAGGCGGGUUUGACGCGAUGACAUGAUUUGUGAGUGGGUCUUUACUUUUAAAUAUUAUAUAUUUAUUUAGUUUCCAAUUAUACAUUUGAAAAUGAAUUUCCUACGCAUGCCUAGAUUAGACUAAUGCUUAUAAGAAUUAGCAAAAUAACGAAAAAUUAUGAAAUUAUCAGAAAUCCUACGGGAUACACAAGUGUGCAUACUUUAUGGGGUUUUAAUGACGGCCAUGAAUAAUAUCGUAUUUAUUACUAUUAUGUCAAUAUGAAUUAUCGAAUUACUGUGGCAUGACUAUAUUUAUGUUAUCUGCUCAUCGUUUGCUACAUUGGUGUUAGUACUCGCUCAGGCCAAGGCUAGUCUUGCACGUGCAUGUGCAUAUUGCACUGUACGCUCACUUUGGAUUCAUUGUAGGUGCCAGUCCUGUCCUAGAUUGUUGUAGGCAAUUAGGACUCGUUUGUGAUGUGCAUAGCACCAGUUUUCACAUGAUUGUAGUACUAGAGCGUAUAUCAUUGUUACACCCAGUUCUGUUCAUGU